AAUUUCUAUCUUGAAACUUUGCGCCUUGUGAUUGAUUGACAUAUUGUUGGUACUUGAAUUUUGAACGGUCAUGCUGGUAUGAUCCACUUGGUAUUUUCUCUGCAAAACUCUUUUUUGAUGGACUUGAUAGUAUUCAUUGUAUCUUAUGUUUUAAGAUGCUAUGCUCUUUUUGUCCUUAUUCUCUGUAACUAUUUUUUUUCCAGUUUGAUCAAUUUUACUAAUGUAUUUUUAUUGGCUUUGCCAAAACUUUCCAUCUCUUGCCGGUUUCUUAUUAACGAGUUCAUACUUACUGCCUGAAGGUGUUCAGUUUUUUCUUAAUUGUUUUGCUGUUGUUCUGUAUACCAACUGUAUGUGUGAUGCUGCUCCUAUGCUUAUUUGUGCUUCUCUGUCUGUAUUUUUUAUAUUUUUCCCUGGUUUGUGUGAUACAUUGUGGUCAGCCUUCCACCUGUGAACUGAAUUUUGAGUGAAAGAGUGAUGCCUUAGUGAUUUAGUAACUUACUUUUUCAUAUUAUAUGUUAAAGUUAUGUGUUUAUCAAUGUACCACUCUGCUUGUUGUCUGCCUAUCUGUUUCAUAUAUUUUUUAUAAAAUUUACUGCCUUGACUUUGAAUCUAUAUGUGUAGUGCUUACUUUCUGGUACUUGUUUGUUUUUGUGCACUUGCCAACAAUCAUUGUGAUGAAGGUGCCUCUCUAUAUUCUCUGUCUUUUUAUGUGGCUUUCUUGUGUUUGGUCAAUCUCUUAUGCCCUCUUCCUUUAUGCUGGAAGUAUGCCGUUGUUGAUCUAAAACUUUUCCUACAGCUGUUUUUGGUCUGACUGCCAAUCUGCCCUGGAAAGGUAAAUAUUGGUCUCCAGUGUUGUUUCCUUAUAAGUAAGGUGGAAACAAUUUCUAUGUGACAUUUUGAGUGAACUUUAAUUGUGAACAUUCAUGCUGGUGUGUUUUUUGUUUUUUUCGUGUGUGUGUGGACUGCUUGAUGUUUGGAUGGUAGACUAUUUCUUACCCUGUUUGUGUGUGCUCAUGUGCUGACGAUUAAUGAAAUGUUUUGGGUACCCUGCCUGAUUUUAUGUUCUAUGUUGAAACUUUGUGCCUUAUAACUUAAUUGACAUACUGGUUGUACUUGAAAUUCGAACUUGUGUUACACUUUGUUUUAAUUCUCGCCUUGUCAUUGUGUGAUACCUAGUGCAAUGCCCUUACUUCUACACUAAAGUUUGAUUAUGUUUGUCAAUGCCUGUUUUGUUUGGUCUGCUGAAACUAAAUGAGAUUUAUUUUGAUUAUCAGUAUUUCUUUCCAUGGACUUUUAAAAUGCUAAGCUUUUUUGUCAUUCUUCUCUGUAAAACUAUCUUCAUUUUAAUCACUCUGGAAUUGCCCCAUUCUUUGACAAAACCUUAUGUCACUUUCAGAUUUCUAAUUUAUGCAUCCUUAUUUACUGUCUGAUCUUCUUCUGUAUUGCUGAGUAGACAUCAAGACUAAUGUGUCACGGUUCUAUCCCAAUCUAAGAUUUUCUGUUCCUCAAAACGCAGUAAAGGGAGUUGUUAUUUCUUCAAGAUUGCAAAGAUGAAUUCAUUCCAGAAGUCUGCGUGAAGUUACGAGUUCCAAGUUCACACACCCUGAUUUUGCAAGAGAAAAACAUUGCUAUUCAAGACCCUCGAAUAUAAGUCACGGGUGAGACAGCGUGAGCCUUAUCCUAGCUGUGAUAAGAGAAGCUCCUUUUAAUUGAAUGCAGUGGGAACGCAUUCAAAUUUGGUUCGCCUUGGACAAAUGUAUUUCAACAAAGCUGGCUUUAACUGCUGAUUUUUAGUGGUGGUUACCAUUUCCGCAAACCAACGUGUGAUCCAAGUGUGCUUGCCUUGGUUCUAUUUAAGGAAUAUGUAUCCAUAUCCAAAUAUUGUUUACUUUUACUGGGUAAGUGGCUUUUUUAAGGAAUACUCCUUCAUCUAGUGAUCAACUCCCUUCCUGUGACUUACAUCCACCUAUUUCUUGUUGUUCGACAGGAUAUUAC